CUUUUGGCAGAUGCUUCUCUGAGAAUUCCAGUUUGGUCUAAUUUAGGUAGGAAGAUCUGCCCACUAUGGGCGCACCACUCAUGAGCUAUACUGAAGAGGAAAGAAAACUGAGGACCUGCAUGAAUUAACAGUUCUCUGGUUCCUGAUGGUUGAUGCUUGUUCCUACGGAAAUCCAAGGAAGGCAACUUCAUAAAGCAUGGAGGGCUGGUUUAUAUGAAGGUUGCAUGCACGCUACAAAACAAUUUAAAUCUACCAACAGCUGUAAGCGAAACAACAUUAAAGGCCAGAGAAAUGACUACAUGGAUAAAGGAGAGUUGGAUAUAAUUUACAGAAGAAAAUAGUCUAAGAAGCUAAAGGAAAAUGAGCAAACAAAACAUGAAAGUAGAAAUGGCCUGACAUGUUGAUGAGGUCCAAUUUUAGGAUCUCAAGUCUACAAACAGUGAAGCAGGAAUACAUUUUAUAAGAAGAUGCAACAUCAUCUGUCGGCGACAUCCAUGGCCUGAAGUACUUGAACGGACAAAGAUGAUGAUGAUGAUGAGGAGGAGGAGGAGCAGAAAGAGGAAGAGGAAGGCUGACAAGUGAUGAUGGAUUUAUGAUGAAUAGUGCUCAAAAAGAAAACAAAAACAAAAACAAAUAAAACCUAAAUUUC
rnacentral:lncRNA from 1 species